CCUACGGGUGGCAGCAGUAGGGAAUCUUCGGCAAUGGACGGAAGUCUGACCGAGCAACGCCGCGUGAGUGAAGAAGGUUUUCGGAUCGUAAAGCUCUGUUGUAAGAGAAGAACGAGUGUGAGAGUGGAAAGUUCACACUGUGACGGUAUCUUACCAGAAAGGGACGGCUAACUACGUGCCAGCAGCCGCGGUAAUACGUAGGUCCCGAGCGUUGUCCGGAUUUAUUGGGCGUAAAGCGAGCGCAGGCGGUUAGAUAAGUCUGAAGUUAAAGGCUGUGGCUUAACCAUAGUACGCUUUGGAAAAUGUUUAACUUGAGUGCAAGAGGGGAGAGUGGAAUUCCAUGUGUAGCGGUGAAAUGCGUAGAUAUAUGGAGGAACACCGGUGGCGAAAGCGGCUCUCUGGCUUGUAACUGACGCUGAGGCUCGAAAGCGUGGGGAGCAAACAGGAUUAGAUACCCGUGUAGUC
rnacentral:rRNA from 1 species